GAUAAAUCCGCAGAUAACCGAGACAGAUGCCGCGGCAUCUCAAGCUGCCACCGGAAAUGCCACUGGUAGCUGCCGAUGCCACUAUUUGAGCCAGCCCCUGCUGACGUAAUGGCGUUAAGGAAAGCCCUGGAAGGUUUGCAGCUCAUUCACAAGUGGCACCAGUCUGAUUUGGGGAUUGCCUGCUUCUUACUCUUUCUUGCCUCCAAAGUAAAGUCAAACGAUGACAACAAUGAAAAAAUCGUCAGUUGCAGCUCUACUCAUCACAGUCAAGUUCACCAUCCAUAACAUAAUAAAGAUUAUACACAUUCGUAA